CCUACGUGGGGCAGCAGUGAGGAAUAUUGGUCAAUGGGCGCGAGCCUGAACCAGCCAAGUAGCGUGAAGGAUGACUGCCCUACGGGUUGUAAACUUCUUUUAUCAAGGAAUAAAGUGAGGCACGUGUGCCUUUUUGUAUGUACUUUAUGAAUAAGGAUCGGCUAACUCCGUGCCAGCAGCCGCGGUAAUACGGAGGAUCCGAGCGUUAUCCGGAUUUAUUGGGUUUAAAGGGAGCGGAGAUGGGUUGUAAAGUCAGUUGUGAAAGUUUGCGGCUCAACCGUAAAAUUGCAAUUGAGACUGGCAGUCUUGAGUACAGUUGAGGUAGGCAGAAUUCGUGGUGUAGCGGUGAAAUGCUUAGAUAUCACGAAGAACUCCGAUUGCGAAGGCAGCUUACUAAACUGCCACUGACAUUGAUGCUCGAAAGUGUGGGUAUCAAACAGGAUUAGAUACCCAAGUAGUC
rnacentral:rRNA from 1 species